rnacentral:rRNA from 1 species
ACGGGAGGCAGCAGUGGGGAAUAUUGGGCAAUGGGCGAAAGCCUGACCCAGCAACGCCGCGUGAAGGAAGAAGGUCUUCGGAUUGUAAACUUCUUUUAUGAGGGACGAAGGACGUGACGGUACCUCAUGAAUAAGCCACGGCUAACUACGUGCCAGCAGCCGCGGUAAUACGUAGGUGGCAAGCGUUAUCCGGAUUUACUGGGUGUAAAGGGCGUGUAGGCGGUUUAGCAAGUCAGAAGUGAAAUUCCCGGGCUUAACUUGGGCGCUGCUUCUGAAACUGCUUUACUUGAGUACUGGAGAGGAUAGUGGAAUUCCUAGUGUAGCGGUAAAAUGCGCAGAUAUUAGGAGGAACACCGGUGGCGAAGGCGGCUAUCUGGACAGUAACUGACGCUGAGGCGCGAAAGCAUGGGGAGCAAACAGGAUUAGAUACCCUGGUA